GAUGAACGCUGGCGGCGUGCCUAAUACAUGCAAGUCGAGCGAACAGAUGAGAAGCUUGCUUCUCUGAUGUUAGCGGCGGACGGGUGUGUAACACGUGGGUAACCUACCUAUAAGACUGGGAUAACUCCGGGAAACCGGGGCUAAUACCGGAUAAUAUUUUGAACCGCAUGGUUCAAAAGUGAAAGACGGUUUCGGCUGUCACUUAUAGAUGGACCCGCGCCGUAUUAGCUAGUUGGUAAGGGAACGGCUUACCAAGGCGACGAUACGUAGCCGACCUGAGAGGGUGAUCGGCCACACUGGAACUGAGACACGGUCCAGACUCCUACGGGAGGCAGCAGUAGGGAAUCUUCCGCAAUGGGCGAAGGCCUGACGGAGCAACGCCGCGUGAGUGAUGAAGGUCUUCGGAUCGUAAAACUCUGUUGUUAGGGAAGAACAAAUUUGUUAGUAACUGAACAAGUCUUGACGGUACCUAACCAGAAAGCCACGGCUAACUACGUGCCAGCAGCCGCCGUAA
rnacentral:rRNA from 1 species